CAGCCGCCGCGGUAAUACGUAGGGGGCGAGCGUUACCCGGAUUCACUGGGCGUAAAGGGGGUGUAGGCGGCUCGGUAAGUCGGGUGUGAAAUCCCACGGCUCAACCGUGGAAUUGCGCCCGAAACUGCCGAGCUUGGGGCCGGUAGAGGGAGACGGAACUGCCGGUGUAGGGGUGAAAUCCGUAGAUAUCGGCAGGAACGCCGGUGGGGAAGCCGGCCUCCUGGGCCGCGCCCGACGCUGAGGCCCGAAAGCUAGGGGAGCAAACCGGAUUAGAUACCCGGGUAGUCCUAGCCGUAAACGAUGCCCACUAGGUGUGGGGGAGUAUUUCCUCCGUGCUGGAGCUAACGCGUUAAGUGGGCCGCCUGGGGAGUACGCCCGCAAGGGUGAAACUUAAAGGAAUUGGCGGG
rnacentral:rRNA from 1 species